AGAUUGAACGCUGGCGGCAUGCCUAACACAUGCAAGUCGAACGGGAGUAGCAAUACUCUAGUGGCGGACGGGUGAGGAAUACGUAGGAAUUUGCCCUUAAGUGGGGGAUAACCCGGGGAAACCCGGAUUAAUACCGCAUGACCUCGAAAGAGCAAAGUGGGGGAUCGCAAGACCUCACGCUUUUGGAGAAGCCUACGUCGGAUU
rnacentral:rRNA from 1 species